rnacentral:tRNA from 1 species
GGGGGUAUAGCUCAGGGGUAGAGCGAUCGCUUCGCAUGCGAUACUUCUCGAUAUCGAGUAGCGUACAAGGCCGCGGGUUCAAAUCCCUCUACCUCCA